GCAAGCGUUGACGAGCCCAAAGAUGAACAGGAUGUGGGUCAGUGAAUGGGAGACCUUCCCCUCCAGGUCGUCGGGGAAGAACCAGUACCACAGUCCCAGCAGAUCUCACAGAAGAUCCUGGUGUAGCAGGUGAUCAUGAUGACCAGCGGCAGCAGGAACAGGCAGGAAAAAGUGAACAUGUUGUAGGCUGUUUCGUGCCAGUGAGUGACAAAACUUCCACGUGUGGUACACUGAGUGAAGUCCUCGGGAUGGAUGAUGGUCACAUUGUGAAAAAGGAAUAACUGAGGAGGGAGAGGAUCGUUAGGAAGGCAUUUUCAGUCAUAUGGAAAAACAUCUAUGGCUGCUCAUGUGUUUGGUGGCCAUAUCAUCAUUCAGUGAUGGUUGAACUGCCAGUAACUCACCUACCUGUGGUGCUAUUUAGCCAUGCAGGUAGUUUUUGAUUCGAGUUAUCUGUUUCUGAGAUUUUUUCCGUCCCCCAAAAUGAAUGGAACUAAAUGGAAUUUAAUUUGUGCUUCUCAAAAAAAUAGAAGGUCACACUUCAUCAUUUCUGUCUGAAGAAAAAAAAAACACUCAACCCUUAUCUCUCACAACCCACAAAGCUAUAAUUGUCUACGUUUAUCCUCUCACCACUGGUUGUGUAAUUUGAAUGAUUUGUUGAGGCAUUAGAGGCCAAACUAUCCUGUUAAAGGUUAAAAACAAGCAUUUUAUGUACCACAUUAUGUACCUGUCCUCCCUCCACCCUGUUUUUAGCGCAACCUCCUCCAUCAUGUUAAUAAAACAAAAUAUGUUGGCAA